UCAAAUUACUAACAGGCCUUGGUUAGAUAUACAAUCAAUGGAAUGGGAGUGUCUGAAACAUUACAUCCAAAUCAGCAGUAAGGUAAGAUAGGGUGUUGAUAACAAGCAUGGUAAGGAGGACAGUUUAUUAGUGAUUUUGGGGGGAAAAGGCAAGAGGAAAACUAGCCCCCUUAGCUUGGGUUCCGCUUUUUCUGUCCAUUGCCCAAACAUCAAGCAUAUUAAGCAUGCUUAGAGGCUGCACCAAACCCAAACUCUCCAUUUUUUACUCAUUUUGCUGUUUGAUGUCUGGAUUCUUUUAUCAGGCCUGAGUACUACUGGUUCAGGCACCAAUAUGACAACCUCAUAGGAUGUUUCUAGAUAUGACAUGGAUUUUUAUUUGUUGCCGAUAGCAAGAAAUUCUCGUUUCAAGUAUCCAUUGCUGGAUGGUUGCACCUUGGUCGUCUAUAUUUGAGUUUUUCCAAUUUGGCAGAAAUGUAUUGGCACCUUGCUUGAUCUUUUUAAUUUUUUGUGGCAUGUCGACAAUGAGGUUCUGUCAUGGUUUUUGUUUAGAGCUCUUAUUUGGAGUGUUGAAAGUUGAAGUUGGCAGGGCUUGACAUUUUCUAGGUAUUCUUAUGUUAUCAGGUAUAAGAAAAUCAGCUCUGGAUCUUUGGUUUCAAGUUUAAGCAUUGCCUUCAUGAUGUGGGUGUCUGACAUGAUUGGUGGGUCCCAUUGUGAAUAUGGCAUACUUCAUCUGAUCCAUGGUUUAUUGGAGAGAAGCAAUGGCUUAUAAGAAUGGCAGCUAGAAAUCUAGCCACCUGCAUAAGGGCUGGCAAUGGGCUGAGUUGACUCCUUGAAAAUUUCAGGUUCAACCUUGAACCAUACAGCUCAGUCCUGAUUUUGAGCCCAGUUGUUGAAGGGGUCAUUGGAUCAACCUGGCACCGACUUGAGAAAAGAUCCAAUUUGGGUCAUCAUCAAAAUGGAGUCGACCAGAACCAGAUCCAGUCCCAACCCAGAAGUUAUUUGCUACAAGUGAACCGUCUAUUAUCUCUAAAAAUUGAAUCAGUAAAAAAUUGGGAAAUGGAAAAAAAAAAAAACAAAGUGUAAUUAGUUACUUAGUGGAUCUAUCAUCUAUGUGAUGGUCAGCUAUAUUUUUAAAUAGAUGACAAGAAAGCCUAUGCAGCCAUGUGGCACCGUGACCAUUUCCAAACUUCAUGGCCUGUGCCCGGGACCAAAACCUAGGCGGACCUGGCCUAAACCUGUCUUCUUGAUCCUCUGCAUACUUGAGAUUCAAACCAUUAAAUAAAUGAGUUUUGGUUAUUUUGAUUUUGGAACCAACCAGGACCCAAUCCAAAUUCUAACAGGCUUAUCUCUCAACCCAAAAUACUAACUAGGCAGGUAUUGGCUCCUUUCAACCUGACCCAUUGGAUGGGUGGCCAUCUGCUGAAAUUGAUAUAAUGGCCCAGACAUGGGCCUUGCUAAGAACCUCCCAUGAGCUACUUUCCCAUGUCAGACCUGUGUAGAUAAGAAAGUAGGUCCGAGCCAGUCCAUCUGCUGAUCAAAUACCCAGCUCUGGCUAUGUCUGAUCUAUUUGGAUGUUGAACCCCAGACCCGGCCAAUUGCUCAAAAUCGGCCCAAUGGGGAUGGUGUCUGGUCCAGCAGGCGUAGGCCGGCCCGUUUCGAGAUGUUUUUUGACCGCGUCCACCUGACAGCGAUGAGGACUGAAAUAUCAAAGUUGCGUGCGAUCCACGCCUAUAAACGUGUCAACGAAUUAUUCGUUCCAGAAAAAGUAAGACAGGAACGUACGCGAAAGAAGCGGUUGAUUCCUUCUCACCGCCAUAGCGGAGAAUGCGGACGUGUCGUUACCACGUGGGCUUAUCUGCACCAUCGAUCUUUACCUAACAGGCUCAUCGAAACCGUUGAUUGCCCGUCGAAUUUCAAUAAAUAGGGCUUCCUUCUACUUCAUUUCCAUUAUCUUCCUUAGGUAUUUGCUUCCUUUGCUUAAAAUCUUAGAUCUGUUCGUCUCUGCUCUUCUUUUCUCCUUCAUUUCUUCCUUUUCGUUGAGAUCUCUAGCAGAUCUACGCCCUGAUAGGCGUUUUUCCUCCUGCUUUUGAUUGAUUCCCUCCGAUCUCGUCCUUCCUCCAGAUCUAGCUGCUACUUCUGCAGAUCGAUGGAUUCUUGACGAGAUCUUGGCUGCCUUCUUUGGAAAUCUGAUCUAGAAGGGGCAGAUCGCUCGACGAUAUACGAUUUGGCGGAGGUUUUGUGUCUUAGCUUUUUGCUUUUUCCUUAGUUCUUUGGUUAUUUUGCAGGUUUUUUUUUCCCUUUGUUUCUCAGGCCUACGAUCUAUUUUCCAAGCAUGAAGGAGAUUUCGCCCAUCAAGAUGCCUGGGUCUGACCGCUGGAAGGUGGGUUUCUGCUUCAGAUCCCUCAGAUGUAGAGGCUGUAGCUGUUUUCAUCAGAUGUCUAGUUUUCAAAGUAAUCGUUCAUCUGAUGAUUCUUGCAUGGCUGUAAAUCGACCUAUGUUGGGUUUCUGAUGUUCUUUUACGUGCAAAGAGAAGCAAUCGGUGAUGGAGAGAUGGAGGACGGAUGUUAGGGUUUCGUUGAAGAUGUUAGAGAUGUAGGAGGCUUGGAGGCGCUUAUACGGCCAUGGAUCUAUGUCAUCCGACCUUUGCCAUGACAGGUGCGCUUGCAUGGCAGGUCAAAGAGCCUAAUAAAAAUUAUAUUUUUCGGGUUUAAGGGGGGAUUGCACGGGCUCUCUUGCCCGGAAUCCCCCCCUCUUGCGUCUUCUUUUUCUUUCUUUUUCUUUCUUGUUCUAUCCAUUGCUGCUUCCCAUCAUCCGCAAAGAUAACCCACCAAGCAGACAGAAGACGAGCUCCUUCCAAAUUUCAAUUAUUCCUGAGCAGGCACCGAUCCAAAAAGGAGAUGAGGCUGCUGCUGGAAGUCUGGAGCUCUGGAUCGAAGGUUGCUGCUCGUUACAUAUCAACACAUAUCUACUUGCUAGGUUGUUUACUUUUGAGGAUAUGUCAAGAUGGCUGGAUCAGAGAACCCAUGUAUUUGCUUUUGAGGAUAUGUCAGGAUGGCUGGAUCAGAGAACCCAUGUAUUUGCUAUGGAGAAGAUUGUUAGCUGUAUUACCAUGUUCAGGCCCCUAGUUUGGUUGUAUGCUGUGCUACCAUCUGAAAUGCUAACCACCCAGUCCAAGGAUGUAUUUUGGUGGCAGCAUCACAUCCACCGUCCGAGAUGCUAGCCAUGUCCGAUGAUGUAUUUGGUGGCCACAUCAUGCCGUGUCGUGUUGGGAUGGCUUGUUUGGCGUCUCCCCUUGGUGUAUUCCAAUAUAUUUUUUAAGCUAUUCAUGAGGACCUCCAAGAGUCUGCGUGGAGAGAAGGUUGAUGCUUCUAACACCAGAGGAGGUAUAAAAUCUUGCAUUGUUCUGCACCACUCGUUGCUUCAGAAAAUAAUUUCCGUUUUUUGGGAGGAGGUACUAAAACUUGCUGAUUGGUUCUCCUCCACUCAGUCACUGCAGAAGUAAAUUUUUUUUCUAUUGUUUAUGUUUUAUGUUUAUGUUUUUCCCCUUUCUACCAUCAUUUGAUUAAUAUAUACAGUAAUUUUAGUAGCUAGAUUUACCAAGUAAUGUUAGGUACUACUUACUAUUUGAACAACAUAGUGUAAUGAUCAUCUUCCAUCAGUUCAUUUUUAUUUCUGAAUCUAGCUGAUCA